AGUGAACGCUGGCGGUAUGCCUAACACAUGCAAGUCGAACGGCAGCACAGUAAGAGCUUGCUCUUACGGGUGGCGAGUGGCGGACGGGUGAGGUAUACAUCGGAAUCUACUUUUUCGUGGGGGAUAACGUAGGGAAACUUACGCUAAUACCGCAUACGACCUACGGGUGAAAGCAGGGGAUCUUCGGACCUUGCGCGAUUGAAUGAGCCGAUGUCGGAUUAGCUAGUUGGCGGGGUAAAGGCCCACCAAGGCGACGAUCCGUAGCUGGUCUGAGAGGAUGGUCAGCCACACUGGAACUGAGACACGGUCCAGACUCCUACGGGAGGCAGCAGUGGGGAAUAUUGGACAAUGGGCGCAAGCCUGAUCCAGCCAUACCGCGUGGGUGAAGAAGGCCUUCGGGUUGUAAAGCCCUUUUGUUGGGAAAGAAAAGCAGCAGGUUAAUACCCCGCUGUUCUGACGGUACCCAAAGAAUAAGCACCGGCUAACUUCGUG
rnacentral:rRNA from 1 species